GUAGACCGGAGCUGUUCCUGUUCGGCCAUCAUGGCUCCUCCACCACCUCUAUGGCUACUGGAUUCUUUAAGGAUGAAGACAUGGGGGUUACCAAGCACAAUGGAUGAGCUAUGCACUUUCAAAAAGGGGCCAGAAAAGGGAAAAUCUGUGUGCUUCCACCUGUACGAUUAGGAACUGCUGAAACACGCGCCUCACACGUUUAAUCAUGGGAGGAGAAGCCCUCCCGGCAAGAACAAUCCAUCAUCCGACAGACGCUUGAUUGUAACAGAUGACGGAGCACAGGAAAGAAGUCUCGAUCCAGACCCCAAGAGAGGCUUGUUGAAUGUCACACAAGAAAGAAUUCGGGGCGAGUCCACAGUGCAAAGCAAAAGCAAGUUUAUUAACAGAGUAAAGUGGUGAAAGUACAGCUACUCCAUAGACAGAGCAGGGCGUUCCCGAAAGCUAGAGGAGGAACGCAUCCACCGGGACUGGAUCUCUCUCUAUCACCCAGACUGGAGUGCAGUGGCACAAUCGUGGCUCACUGCAGUCUUGAACUCCUGGCCUCAAGAGAUCUUCCUGCCUCAGCCUCCUGAAUGGUUGCGACUACAGGUGAGAGCCUGGCUCAUUUAACCUUUUAAAAGUGCAUGGUUCAGUGGCAUUAAGUACAUUCCCCUUGUGCAAUUGGUACUCCCAUUCACUUCCAGAGCUUUUUUCUUUUCCCCAAAGUGAAACUCCAUAACUAUUCAGCAAUAACUCCUCAUCACUCCUUUCCCACUUCCCCAGCCCUUGGUAACCACGAAUCUACUUUUUGUUUCUAUGAACUUGACUAUCCUGGGUACCACAUGGAAGUGGAAUCAUACAAUAUUUGUCCUUUUGUGUCUGGCUUGUUUAACUUGGCAUGAUGCUUAGUUCACAUGGUGUGAUGUCCUCUAGGUUCAUCCAUGUUGUAGUAUGUAUCAGAAUUUCAUUCCCCUUUUAAGGCUGUAUUAUAUUCCAUUGUGUACAUACACCACAUUUUGUUUAUUAUUUAAGUAAUCUGAAUUUGUUUGUUUGUUUUGUUUUAAACUUUCUAUGCUGAUAUUGUAUUCCUCUGACAAUUAAAAUAAUGGAAUUGCAGAAGACAC
rnacentral:lncRNA from 10 species